UCGUGUUUUAACUUUCAGUUGCGCUCAUUGGCGCUUCCUUGAUAUGGUGCUUUAGACCUUCUGUUUAGGAAAUGUAUGUAUUUCUUCCUUACAUCACAGGCUCUAUACUAUGUAUAUAAUGAUAGGAUUGAAUUUAUUUUCCAGGAUGCAAAUCAGGCGACGAAUAUUUCCUGGAUACCUCUCCCCACGUUCCCUGUCUCUGGACCUCCUCUGGCGGCACCACGCAUCGUAAAUGGCCGGACAGCCGAGCCCCACGCCUACCCAUACCAGGCCGCCCUCUCGUGUAACGGACGCUUCCUCUGUGGAGGAUCUGUGAUAAGUGAUUGGCACGUGGUGACAGCCGCACACUGCGUGGACAGUCCACGAAAAUGUAAGGUUGUUCUGGGUGGCCACGACCUGAAGAGAUGGGAGCGCAGUCGACAAAUCAUAGCCGUGGGCGAAACUUACGUACAUCGCGACUAUUCGAAGAAAUAUAUUCUCAGGGAUCAGGUAACAAGGAAUUUGCUGCCGAUUUGCUUCCCAUUACAUCCCUGAUCCACUUGUCGAAGUGGAAUACAUUGACCACUCCCUGUGGGUAGGCCGGGUUGCAACCCUUCGCGGCAAAGGAAGCACUCCCGAAGAGUUGGUUUUCAUAAACAUACGGCCCCCCCGAGUCGCCCUGAAGAAGAAGAUAAAGUUCAACAGUAAGUCACGCGAUUGCAUUUUUGUAUGAGUGUGUGCAUGGAUGUGUGCCUAUGCGUGUGACUGCUUAAUCGCCAUUCAAAGAUCUGACGCUAUUGCAGUUUGGCCUAUUAUGCGUAGGAGAAGAACAACACUCAUCUCAAGUUCUUCCUCAGAAUACGUCCAGCCUGUCAACCUGCCGAAGUCGAGUCGGGAAGAUUGGAUGCCUCUGACACACACAGGAUGGGGAACAACUGCCAAAGGGAGUGGAAUCGAACAUUUUUCGGUUCUCCAAGUAGCAACAACCAAUGCUUUAAAGCAAAAAACUCUUCCCUCCGAAGGACGACUCAAUCACCUGUGUUUAUAGCAGUGUGGAGUCAUCCUGCUAUGUAA
rnacentral:misc_RNA from 1 species